GAAGCCACAGGUGGUUUUGAUUUUGUGCCAAAGUCUCCAAGCCCCCUGCCAGGGUCUGGAGCAGCCAGGGCAGCCAGAGGGAUGUGCUGGGCUCCAAGAAUUAAUGAUUGGCAUUAAUGCUGGCUGUGAGUGUAACACUGUGUCCCUGAUCUCCUGUCCCCUCCCCAGUCCCCCUGGAGGGUGCUCAGUGCCAUUUUUUGGGAUAUUGCUUUGCAGGACUUGGUCUGUCCCACCUGCAGAAGGGUUAAAAUGCUGCUGGAGACUGGGCAAACUGGGACAAACUGGUAUUCCACGUUCCCCCUGUCAGCGACACCUCCAGCCUGAAAAUUGGGAAUAUUCCUUUUUGGAUGGGUGUCUCUGACCAUGCCAGGGGUGAUGUUUGGAGUUGACGGUUUUUAUCUUCUGUGAGUCUUCUGUGCUACUCCCACUCUGCUGAGAUGUUCAGCUCAUCACACAUUGAGGGAUGGAACAGUCCUUGGAAAAGAAACUUAAAAUUCCUUUCUCCUGGGAGGGAAAGGAGAAAAAGACUGACUAAAGUUACAAAAAAAAUCAAAUUUAGUACGGUUUUCUAACA